CGAGCAUCAUUUCGUUAUUUUAUUGUUAUGGAAUCAGAAUUGAUUUGACUAUUAGGUUUAAGUUAUAAAGUUUUGUUUUAUUUUGUUUUGUUUUUUGGUACGAGCAUAUUGAUUUAUGAAUCAUCAUUACUGGAUGUGAAACAUACAAUGACGUCACAGGGCCUACUCUCUUCUACGGCAAACAGAUUACAGCGACCAGGCCAAAGACGACCCAGGUGCGACUGUCGAAUGUGAAUACAACUGAACAACUUAAAAACAGCAUGCCUAGAGGGUGGAGUUAAUCAUUCACUGGAUAUGACAAUAAGUGUGUGUAGUGCGUGCGUGUGCGUAUGCGCACGCGUGUAUGUUUGUGGUUGUUUCUUGUGAAAUUCGUAAAACAUCUUUAUUUAUAAUUCUACAAAACAUCUAAACAGCAUUUGAUUACUAAUGACGUUGUGAGCAUAAACAAAAACUGUGAUUUUAUUCAGUAUUUAGGGUCGAUUCUAAGCUUAUUUAUGAUUCCCAAAUAAUCUACGGAUGUGUUUAUUCUUGAUAUUCAAAAUGAUUUGUUUCUUCAAUAAAACGUUUUAUUAAAGAAA
rnacentral:lncRNA from 1 species